rnacentral:rRNA from 1 species
GACGAACGCUGGCGGCGUGCUUAACACAUGCAAGUCGUACGGUAAGGCCCUUUCGGGGGUACACGAGUGGCGAACGGGUGAGUAACACGUGAGUAACCUGCCCACAACUUUGGGAUAACGCUAGGAAACUGGUGCUAAUACUGGAUAUGUGCUCCUGCUGCAUGGUGGGGGUUGGAAAGCUCCGGCGGUUGUGGAUGGACUCGCGGCCUAUCAGCUUGUUGGUGGGGUAGUGGCCUACCAAGGCGGCGACGGGUAGCCGGCCUGAGAGGGUGACCGGCCACAUUGGGACUGAGAUACGGCCCAGACUCCUACGGGAGGCAGCAGGGGGGAAUAUUGCACCAUGGGCGCAAGCCUGAUGCAGCAACGCCGCGGGCGGGAUGACGGCCUUCGGGUUGGAAACCGCUUUCAGCAGGGACGAAGCUUUUUGUGACGGUACCUGCAGAAGAAGCACCGGCUAACUACGUG